rnacentral:tRNA from 1 species
UAGCGAGUGGUUUAAGUAAAACGGUGGAUUGUGGUUCUACAGAUGAGUUGUUCUUCGCUAG